UGGAGAGUUUGAUCCUGGCUCAGAUUGAACGCUGGCGGCAGGCCUAACACAUGCAAGUCGAGCGGUAGCAGGGAGCAGCUUGCUCUCGGGUGACGAGCGGCGGACGGGUGAGUAAUGUCUGGGAAACUGCCUGAUGGAGGGGGAUAACUACUGGAAACGGUAGCUAAUACCGCAUAACGUCGCAAGACCAAAGUGGGGGACCUUCGGGCCUCAUGCCAUCAGAUGUGCCCAGAUGGGAUUAGCUAGUAGGUGGGGUAACGGCUCACCUAGGCGACGAUCCCUAGCUGGUCUGAGAGGAUGACCAGCCACACUGGAACUGAGACACGGUCCAGACUCCUACGGGAGGCAGCAGUGGGGAAUAUUGCACAAUGGGCGCAAGCCUGAUGCAGCCAUGCCGCGUGUAUGAAGAAGGCCUUCGGGUUGUAAAGUACUUUCAGCGAGGAGGAAGGCGUUAAGGUUAAUAACCUUAGCGAUUGACGUUACUCGCAGAAGAAGCACCGGCUAACUCCGUGCCAGCAGCCGCGGUA
rnacentral:rRNA from 1 species